AGAAUCAACGCUGGCGGCGUGCCUAACACAUGCAAGUCAAACGAGGAAGUGGAGCAAUCCAUGAGUAAAGUGGCGCACGGGUGAGUAACACGUGACUAACCUACCCUUGAGUGGGGGAUAACCUAGGGAAACCUGGGCUAAUACCGCAUAAUACCUUCGGGUCAAAGGAGCAAUUCGCUUAAGGAGGGGUCGCGGCCGAUUAGUUAGUUGGCGGGGUAAUGGCCCACCAAGACUGUGAUCGGUAU
rnacentral:rRNA from 1 species